rfam:Gossypium hirsutum cultivar TM-1 chromosome 11, whole genome shotgun sequence
AAACCAUGCAUUGGGCAUUUUCUAAUCAAUUCCUUGAAUCUCUCCCAAGCUUCAUACAAUGUCUCAUCUUCAAAUUGCCGAAAAGAUGUAAUAUCAUCCCUCAUUUU